rnacentral:rRNA from 1 species
GGGUUGUGAGGUUAAGCGACUAAGCGUACACGGUGGAUGCCCUGGCAGUCAGAGGCGAUGAAGGACGUGCUAAUCUGCGAAAAGCGUCGGUAAGGUGAUAUGAACCGUUACAGCCGGCGAUGUCCGAAUGGGGAAACCCAGUGUGAUUCGUCACACUAUCGUUAACUGAAUACAUAGGUUAACGAGGCGAACCGGGGGAACUGAAACAUCUAAGUACCCCGAGGAAAAGAAAUCAACCGAGAUUCCCCCAGUAGCGGCGAGCGAACGGGGAGCAGCCCAGAGUCUGAAUCAGCUUGUGUGUUAGUGGAACGGUCUGGAAAGUCCGACGGUACAGGGUGAUAGUCCCGUACACCAAAAUGCACAGGUUGUGAACUCGAAGAGUAGGGCGGGACACGUGGUAUCCUGUCUGAAUAUGGGGGGACCAUCCUCCAAGGCUAAAUACUCCUGACUGACCGAUAGUGAACCAGUACCGUGAGGGAAAGGCGAAAAGAACCCCGGCGAGGGGAGUGAAAAAGAACCUGAAACCGUGUACGUACAAGCAGUGGGAGCACCUUCGGGUGUGACUGCGUACCUUUUGUAUAAUGGGUCAGCGACUUAUAUUCUGUAGCAAGGUUAACCGUAUAGGGGAGCCGCAGGGAAACCGAGUCUUAACUGGGCGUUAAGUUGCAGGGUAUAGACCCGAAACCCGGUGAUCUAGCCAUGGGCAGGUUGAAGGUUGGGUAACACUAACUGGAGGACCGAACCGACUAAUGUUGAAAAAUUAGCGGAUGACUUGUGGCUGGGGGUGAAAGGCCAAUCAAACCGGGAGAUAGCUGGUUCUCCCCGAAAGCUAUUUAGGUAGCGCCUCGUGAACUCAUCUUCGGGGGUAGAGCACUGUUUCGGCUAGGGGGUCAUCCCGACUUACCAACCCGAUGCAAACUACGAAUACCGAAGAAUGUUAUCACGGGAGACACACGGCGGGUGCUAACGUCCGUCGUGAAGAGGGAAACAACCCAGACCGCCAGCUAAGGUCCCAAAGUCAUGGUUAAGUGGGAAACGAUGUGGGAAGGCACAGACAGCCAGGAUGUUGGCUUAGAAGCAGCCAUCAUUUAAAGAAAGCGUAAUAGCUCACUGGUCGAGUCGGCCUGCGCGGAAGAUGUAACGGGGCUAAACCAUGCACCGAAGCUGCGGCAGCGACACUAUGUGUUGUUGGGUAGGGGAGCGUUCUGUAAGCCUGCGAAGGUGUGCUGUGAGGCAUGCUGGAGGUAUCAGAAGUGCGAAUGCUGACAUAAGUAACGAUAAAGCGGGUGAAAAGCCCGCUCGCCGGAAGACCAAGGGUUCCUGUCCAACGUUAAUCGGGGCAGGGUGAGUCGACCCCUAAGGCGAGGCCGAAAGGCGUAGUCGAUGGGAAACAGGUUAAUAUUCCUGUACUUGGUGUUACUGCGAAGGGGGGACGGAGAAGGCUAUGUUAGCCGGGCGACGGUUGUCCCGGUUUAAGCAUGUAGGCUGGUUAUCCAGGCAAAUCCGGAUAAUCAAGGCUGAGGUGUGAUGACGAGGCACUACGGUGCUGAAGUAACAAAUGCCCUGCUUCCAGGAAAAGCCUCUAAGCAUCAGGUAACAUCAAAUCGUACCCCAAACCGACACAGGUGGUCAGGUAGAGAAUACCAAGGCGCUUGAGAGAACUCGGGUGAAGGAACUAGGCAAAAUGGUGCCGUAACUUCGGGAGAAGGCACGCUGGUGUGUAGGUGAAGUCCCUGCGGAUGGAGCUGAGACCAGUCGAAGAUACCAGCUGGCUGCAACUGUUUAUUAAAAACACAGCACUGUGCAAACACGAAAGUGGACGUAUACGGUGUGACGCCUGCCCGGUGCCGGAAGGUUAAUUGAUGGGGUUAUCCGUAAGGAGAAGCUCUUGAUCGAAGCCCCGGUAAACGGCGGCCGUAACUAUAACGGUCCUAAGGUAGCGAAAUUCCUUGUCGGGUAAGUUCCGACCUGCACGAAUGGCGUAAUGAUGGCCAGGCUGUCUCCACCCGAGACUCAGUGAAAUUGAACUCGCUGUGAAGAUGCAGUGUACCCGCGGCAAGACGGAAAGACCCCGUGAACCUUUACUAUAGCUUGACACUGAACAUUGAGCCUUGAUGUGUAGGAUAGGUGGGAGGCUUUGAAGCGUGGACGCCAGUCUGCGUGGAGCCAACCUUGAAAUACCACCCUUUAAUGUUUGAUGUUCUAACGUUGGCCCCUGACCGGGGUUGCGGACAGUGUCUGGUGGGUAGUUUGACUGGGGCGGUCUCCUCCCAAAGCGUAACGGAGGAGCACGAAGGUUAGCUAAUCCUGGUCGGACAUCAGGAGGUUAGUGCAAUGGCAUAAGCUAGCUUGACUGCGAGCGUGACGGCGCGAGCAGGUGCGAAAGCAGGUCAUAGUGAUCCGGUGGUUCUGAAUGGAAGGGCCAUCGCUCAACGGAUAAAAGGUACUCCGGGGAUAACAGGCUGAUACCGCCCAAGAGUUCAUAUCGACGGCGGUGUUUGGCACCUCGAUGUCGGCUCAUCACAUCCUGGGGCUGAAGUAGGUCCCAAGGGUAUGGCUGUUCGCCAUUUAAAGUGGUACGCGAGCUGGGUUUAGAACGUCGUGAGACAGUUCGGUCCCUAUCUGCCGUGGGCGCUGGAGAAUUGAGGGGGGCUGCUCCUAGUACGAGAGGACCGGAGUGGACGCAUCACUGGUGUUCGGGUUGUCAUGCCAAUGGCACUGCCCGGUAGCUAAAUGCGGAAGAGAUAAGUGCUGAAAGCAUCUAAGCACGAAACUUGCCCCGAGAUGAGUUCUCCCUGAGACU